UACAGAGGUCCCAAGCGUUGUUCGGAUUCACUGGGCGUAAAGGGUGCGUAGGCGGUCGGGUAAGUCUGGCAUGAAAUCUCCAAGCCUAACUUGGAAACUGCGUUGGAUACUAUCCGGCUCGAGGAAUGGAGGGGAGACUGGAAUACUUGGUGUAGCAGUGAAAUGCGUAGAUAUCAAGUGGAACACCAGUGGCGAAGGCGAGUCUCUGGACAUUUCCUGACGCUGAGGCACGAAAGCCAGGGGAGCAAACGGG
rnacentral:rRNA from 1 species